AAUAAAAGAUCCAUAUAAAAGUAGAGAUGUUUGAUCACAAAAACAUCCAAAAAAUCACGUUAAAUCGUUUUAACACAUUAAAACAAAAUGUCGCCAAAAACCGCAACGACAGCAAAAUAAUCGGCUGUUGAUAAAUCAAAGAAUUAAAAAGAGAAGUGUGCGCACGUCGAUUAUUUUUAAAUGAACCUUCUUUACUUUGAGCAAAAUGUGUGACAGAUUCCUUUAAAUUUACAGAUUUCUUUGCAACUGACGCGACCUCUAAGCUGGAGCACACGAACUAUUUUAGCUGUUUCCCCCCUUUGCCCCACCCCUCCCAGUGAACACAUAAUUUGUAUACACUUUCAGGGGCCUGGUUAUAAACACAAGUCUGGUGCUGCUAAGCGCAAGAAGACUUUGGAAACCGCGGAAAAAAUCUAAAAAUUACCAAAGAUUGACAGUUUUUUUGCAAAGCAGAAUGAACAAAGUUUAGAUGAUAAAUCGGAAUCGACAGAGCGGGAGCCGGAGCCGCAGUCAGAGCCCCAACCUGGACCUAACAAAAGUCGAGAAUUCGAAAUAACUGAAGAGGAUUACGAUGAGAGUUUGGAGCAGUCUUCCCAAACUUUAAUUUUGGAAACUGAAUCUGAGCAAACUAUAAGUUUUGGGCAUCAAAAUCCAACGGAUAAAGGAAUUUUUUCGUCGAUCUUGAAAGAUAGCGACAAAAGAUUUAUCAUAGACAAUGGUCCAUGUCGACCACUCGGCCCUUAACCUAAAGAUAAAGCAGAAGAGGUUUUUCAGAAUCUUAUUAUUCAAAAAUUUCGAAAGCUGGCAUUAAAACGGAACGCUACUGGUUGUGCUACUCAUUUAUUUUAAAUAAAUGCUGCUGUCAACCUUAUUGGGUAUUUGGCAGGACCACGAAAAACUCCUUAGCUGCAGGAUUUAAUGAAUGGAUCAUUUACAAAGAGCAAUAACAAGACACGAGACUUCAGCUGACCAUAACAAAUCAUGCAUUAUUUAUGAUAAAUGGCGUAGAAAUAAAACAAUUGAUAGUGAAUCGGAAGCAGUGUUUCGGAAAGAAAUUUCAUUUUGGCGUCAAGUAUUACAUCGUGUUAUUGACGUUACACUUACUUUGACCUCUUCCAAUUUACCAUUUCGAGGGCACGAUGAGCAUUUAGAUUCGAAAAUUAUAAUUAUAAUUAUAAAAUUAUUGACGAAGUAUGAUCCAGUCCUAAAUAAUUUAUUAGAAAAUAAUUCAAAAUAUUCAGUGACGUAUUUGGGUCCCACAACUCAAAAUGAAAUAAUAAAUUUGUUAGGAAAUGAAAUAAAAAAAUGUAUCGUUAACAAAAUAAAAGCAGCCCCUUAUUACUCCAUCAUUGUAGACACAACACAAGAUUUAGCCAAAACAGAUCAAAUGAGUAUUAUUUGCAGGUAUAUCGAGAUUCUGUUUGCCCACUGAUAUCAGAAUAAAUGAAUCCUUCUUAGGUUUUAUACCUAUUGAAAACCAAUCUGCACAAAAUAUUGCAGACACAAUUAUUAAAACUCUUACAGAUUUGGACUUACCUUUAGAAAAAUUACGUGGACAAGGGUAUGACGGGGCAGCAAACAUGAGUGGGAUCUACAACGGUGUUUAAACAAAAAUUUUAAGUCAAUGUCCACAUGCUCCUUUUGUACAUUAUGCAGCACAUAAUUUAAAUUUAAUUAUUAAUGAUUCUGUAAAAGGAGUGGACGAAAUUGCCAAUUUUUUUAUUUUUGUAGAAAAAGUAUACGUAUUUUUUGCCCACAGCAUUAAACGUUAUCGAAUGAACAGAGUACGACCAAAAAGAAAAUAAAACUUAAAAGACUUAAUCCCACAAGAUGGGCAUCAAGAUAUAAUUCUCUGCUUGCUCUAAAGUUCCGAUAUACAGAUAUUUUAAAAACUUUAUCAUAUAUAAUUUUAACUUCUAAAUCGAAAGCUGAAAUUGAUGAGGCUAAAAUUAUAAAAACGAAUUUAGAAAAAUUUGAAACCGUUUUGCUUAUUUCUUUGGAAGUAGAAAUUUUUAAUAUUACUAAUGUCGUGUCAAAAGUCCUUCAAAGCGAACAACAAAAUAUUAGUGACAAUGCUUCGUUGUUCAAUAAAGCCUUUGAUGACAUAAAAAAACUACGUGACGAAUUUGAUUUGGUUUAAAUAAAAGCGAUUCAACUGGCUCAGUCGUGGGGUACAUCUACAGAUUUUGAAAAAAAAAAAGAAAUAUUAGGCCAAAACUAUUUUUUGAUGAAUGAAACAAUCAUCACGUUGUCUUGAACGAGGAAGAUAUAUUUAAAAUAAAUCUAUAUUUUAAAAUAUUAGACAUUAUAAUCGCACAAUUAAAAAUUCGCUUAAAAAGUUUAAAUAAUCUUAAGGAAACAUUUCAAAUUUUAAAUUCUGAUGUUUUGCUCAGAAGUUCGGAGGAAAUGCUAGUUGAAAUGGGCCAAAGAUUGUAUCAAACAUAUAAAGAUGAUAUUAGUAACUCAAUUUGUCAAGAGUUACUUUCGUUCCGACACUGCUUUGAAAAUAAAAUAAGCGACAUACAUUCAAUAAAUGAUUUAGUCAAAUUUAUUUUAAUAAAAAAUAAUUCAUCAUGUAGUAGUUUCUCGGAAUUAUUAAAUGCUUGUUGUUUGUUUCUUUCAAUACCAGUAACUGUAGCAACGGCUGAACGCAGUUUUUCCAAAUUAAAAUUAAUUAACACCUAUUUAAGAAAUGCAAUGAAUCAAGAACGAUUAUCUGACCUGUCCUUAAUUUCAAUUGAAAAUACAAUAGCUAAAGAUCUGGAUCUCACGGAAAUUAUAAAUACAUUUGCUAACGCCAAAACAAGAAAAAAAUCUUUUUUUAAGAGUAUUAUGUUUACAUGUUUUUCUUUAUUUGUGUAUUUUUGUUAUUUUACUUGUUAUAAAUACGAUAAAACUAGUAAAUUAAUAAAAUUAAAUAGCAUUUUUAUUUAAGUAAAAAUAAAAAAGGUAAGUUUUAAAUUAAAUUAUAUAUCUAUGGAGGCCCGCGAAUGACUUUGGAACCCAGGGCCGCACUGAUAUUGCUACGCCACUGUAUCCACUAUACUAAACGGAGACGAUUAACAGAUGACACAUUUGAUACACUCCCUUAUGGUUUCAUGAAUACGAUAUUAGAUUAAUUAUUAUUAAAAUUGUAUGUAUAUAUUUAUUUAUAAAGUCAAGAGUUUAAGUUUACAUUAUAAUACUUAAUAAUUGUGGUGGCGGGUGCUUAUCCAAUAAGACACAUAGGUACUUUUAAUAGUUUAAUGAAUAAAUAGAAAGUGAACAAUUUGAGGAGAAACUUAUCGCUCUGCCCGGAGUAGGUACGUCUAUAUGCGACGACGUUCGUACCACUUCUGUCGAGGGUUGGAGAACCUGAGGGAAAGGUCUGGUCUCUCAAGGACCCAAACAGAGCAGGUAGUUUUUUAAAUACACUACAGCUCGUCCAUCCUGACAUUUCCAGCUUGCCCUCAAGCUCUAAAUAAUUACUAAACUAAUUAAUACAUAAGAACAAAUCUUAAUAUUUUUGGAACAAAUCCUAAAAGUAACCUAACAUAGACAUCUAAUUAAAUCCUAGAACAAAUUCUAACAAACUGAGAACAAAUCUCAAAAUACAAUAAUUAGUCACACGUGAGAACAAAUCUCGAAAUUUUUUAAACAUGAGAACAAAUCAUUUACUAACUGUGAAAUAAAAUUUCAAAUAAACAACUUCAAUUUGAGAACAAAUCUCUACCAUUGAGAACAAAUCUCAAACUAUUCAUUAGGAACAAAUCCCUACCAACAUGAGAACAAAUCUCAAACAAUCAAAUAAUAUGAGAACAAAUCUCAUCUAAUCACAACACUAAUUUUCACCUAAUAUUGCAAAUAACUUAUGGAAACAAAUCUCAUACAUAUUUCACUAAAUUAGGAUUCACCUAUUAUUUUAAACAUUCAUACACAAUUUAUACAAUAAAUUCUACCUAAUUGAUGCACUCAACUUAAAUAAAAUUUGCUUUAGUGAACCGUAAAAUAAAUUAACAUAAUCUGUUAUCAUCAACAUUAUUUGGGCGCCAUAAUUUCAUGUUCGCUGGUGAUGCAAUGCCUUCAUAUGGCAACUGCGUUAGUUGAAACCCUUCGGGAUCUUUCACGACGUAUCGGUCUCGAUCUAAAACUUUUGAAAUUACAUAGGGGCCUCUAAAUUUUGGUAGCAACUUUUUGUUUACACCCGCUGUCGUAUCUACAUUUUUUAACAUAACAUAAUCGCCUUCUUUAUAUUUAAACGGUUCUUUAUGUUUAUUGUCAUAAUAUUGUUGAUUAUAUUUAUUGACCGCAUUGAUUCCUACCACCGCUUUUGUACGCAUUUCUUCCAAAUUUCGAUCUUGUUCUUGAAUUUCUUUUAUUAGCUCACGCAAAUCAUCAUCAUUUCGUACUUGUUCAAUACCGAACAAUAAUCUCGCAGGUGUUUCGCCGGUUACCCGAUUUACUGAAUUGUUUAUAGCAUACUCGACGUCAACUAAUUUUUUGUCCCACGUGGACGUAUGAUUUGAGACAAAUUUUGAUAAAAUAGCAGUUAAUGGUCUAUUAACCCGCUCAAUUUGACCGUUUGCCUGCGGCGUUCUCGUUGCAGUUAAGAUGUGUUGUAUACCAUUUUCUUGCAUAAAUACGCGAAAUUUAUUUGACGUGUACGCUGUGUCAUUAUCUGAAAUAAUUCGCUUGGGUUUACUAUAAUAAGCAAAAUAAUUUUUUAAAUGUUUGAUAACUUCAUCGGUAUUUGUUGAGACAGUCGCGUAAAAUUUGACAAAUUUGGUAAAACCAUCUACGAUCUCAAAAAUGUAUUUAUGACGAUUGCCCGAUUUUUCUAAUGGCCCGUAAUGGUCAAUGUGAAGUGUAUAAAAUGGUACGUUACCUUUAUCAAUACAAUGUAAUUUACCUUCGACUCGAUUUGCGACAGUGGAAUAUGUGAUGCAUUUAAAACAGUUCAAGAUGUGAUUUUGGACUUUGUUUCUCAUUUCCGGAAACCAAUAAAUACGUGUGAUAUAGUCAAUCGUUUUGUUUAUGCCCUGAUGUCCGACUUUUUCGUGGCAGGUUCUAAUUAUAUUUUCUUCCAUUGAUGUCAGUACAUAAAAUAAAUUUUUUUCGCCCAUUUUCCGAUACACUAACCCGUUAUUCAUUUCAUACAAUUUGUUUUGUUGUUUUUCUAAACCUUUCCUGAUUUCCACGAUUUUUGAGUCUAAAUUUUGUAGUAACUCUAAAUUGCGCUCGAAUGUAUUUUCUGAAAUUAAAGAAAUACUAAAUUCACGACUUAACGCGUCAGCAUGUCUCAUUUGAUCAGAAGUACGGUGCUCAAGUGUAUAAUCGUAAUUUCGUAAAAUCAAUGACCAUCGGAUUCACUCGGAUUCACUUCUUUUCUUUCUAAUGUCUGUUUUAAGCUGUUACAAUCCGUGACAAUUUUAAAUUUUAUACCUUGCAGGUAAAUCCGGAAUCUUUCUAAUGAAUAAAUAAUCGCUAACGCUUCUAAUUCGAAACUAUGGUAAGACGCUUCCGUAGGUGUUGUUCUUUUGCUAAAAAAAAGACCGGAUGAAAUUUUCCGUCUUCCAAUUGUUUUUGCAUCAAAACUGCACCAAAACCAUGUGAACUAGCAUCGCAAUGUAGUUCCGUUUCUAAUUUAUGCGAGUAUAUGGCUAACACGGGUGACGAUAUUAAUUUUUGCUUUAAUGAUUCAAAGCAAUCGUUCUCACGGUCCGUCCAUAUAAAUUCUUUUGCCUUUAAUAGUUCCGACAACGGCUUUGACACGGUCGCAAAAUCCCUAAUAAACUUUCUAAAAUAGGACAAUAAACCAAUAAAGCUAUGGAGCUCUCUAAAAUUUUUGGGGGUCGGAAAUUCCUUUAUUGCUUUUACAUUGUCGUCACUUGGACUUAUACCGUUCUUGUCUAUAUUGUACCAAAGAUAUUUUACUUUAUCCAAUAAAAAUUCGCAUUUGUCAAAUCUUAGCUCUAAUUUGUUUUUUACGAGUACUUUUAAAACUUCUUUUAAAAUAGCAAUAUUUUCGUACAUGGUUUUGGUGGGAAUUAAUAUAUCGUCUAAGUAAAUUUGAACUUUCUGUUGACGUAAUAAAUCUCUGAACGCGGUAUUUAUAAAACGCAUAAAAAAUGAACUACCAUUCGCUAGACCAAACGGCAUUUUGGUAUAUUCAUAUUGAUCCAUGAAAGUAACAAAUGACGUAUAUUUCGUUGAUUCGGGAUCUAAUUUAAUAUUAUGAAAGGCAUCUUUUAAGUCCAAACGCGUAAAAUAAGCCUUACCCUUUAAAUUAUCAAUUUGCUCCUCUAUGUGCGGAAUGGGAUAAAUAUCUCGCGUUGUCAACUUAUUUAACUCGCGGUAAUCAACGGCCAUACGAUAAUUUCCGUCUUUUUUUCGCACUAAAACAAUGGGACUACUAUAUUGUGAACUACUUGGUUUGAUAACCUUUUUGGACAAUAAUACGUUUGUAAUUUGUUUUACCGCUUCUUUUUCCGCGUAAGAUAAUCGUCUGGCUUUCGAAUAAAAUGGCGCAUGAUUGGGCUUUACAUGUAACUUCAACUCUAAUUGCGUAUAAGGUUCAUCGGGUCUAUCUGGUUGUACAUAAAAUUCAUUUACAAUAUCUUUUACCUGCUGAUGGACAUCACAGCUCAAUUGUUCGUUAAUAUUUAAAUUUAUUUCUGAUUUAUUGUUACAACCAAUAUCAAUGUGCAAUAAUUCAAGAGAUUCAUCUUGAACUCUGAUGUCCACUUCACUUCGUUUGUUUUUCACAGUUACAACCUUACCUAAACUUAUAAUUAAUUUAUCAUUCGUUAAGAAAUCUCGACCUAGUAAGCAAUCAAAUUUCAUAGUGUCGGCAGGUACUACUUUGAAUUCAAUUUCAGUCUCACAAUCAUUAACUAAAACUCUUUCGUCAAUUUGCCCUAAUAUAUUCAAUUUAGUACCGUUCAGACCACUAUAUGUUAUAUUAGAAUUAUCAGGUAAAAUUUUUACAUUUGUUUUUAGCGAAUGAGAAGUCAACAGUGAAAUUGGACUACCUGAAUCAAUUAUUGCCGUUAGCUCACCAACAAAAUUGUUUGAACGCACCUCUACUAUAAAAGCCGGUAUAAUUUGUUGUUCCACCAGGUGACUCGUCGUAUCCUGUUUAACUGGGCAGUCCUUUUUUUGAUGACUUUUCGAUCUGCAGCCUAAACACGAACCAACUUCUCUCUUCGGUUUGCUACACUUUGCUGAAAUAUGACCUUUGUCACCACAAUUGUAACACCUCACAAUGUUACUAGCGGUCACAUUUGCCGCACUCUUUGAUUUGUUUGUUACAUUCGCGUUUAUUACUGCAUUCUUAUUAAUACGCUGGUUGUCCGUCGAUGAUGAAGAUGGUCGACUCUUGAUUUUCUCGUACGUUUCUAAUUUAGUCUUCAGCUGCCUAAAGUUCCUUGCUUCAUAUAAAAACGUUUUAUUACACAUUUCGUCUGGAAUUCCGUCGACAAUAUAUUGAAUUACGGCAUCUUCUUCAAUUUGGCUUCUGGCUGCAAUCUCUUCAUGUUAAAAUAGUACUCUAAUACCGACUCGUUUCUUUGUUUUUUCUUUUCAGAUAAAAGUCUAUGAAUGUCUGCACUGUUAAUCUUCUUGCCAAAUUCGUCUUGAAGGAUUUCUUUUAGCUUGGACCAGCUGUUCAGUCCUCGUUCACACUGAAUACACUGUUUUGCCAACCCAAUUAGGCACUUUUUCGCAUAUACCAAUUUUUGCAAUUCUGAAAAUUGCAUAACUUCUGCCAUCUCUUCGAAGUCCUGUACCCAGUUUUCCACUUGAUAUGAUUCUUCCCCACUGAAGGACGAAUCGAAUCUUCGAUAUCCUUAAAAUUCAUUACGAAUUUUGGUGUUUGUUGUAUGGCCCAUCUUUCAUUCUCUAGUGAUGGUGUCCUUCGCGGUGUGUCAUCAUUCGUGUCCUCUCCGUCAGCUUCUUCUUCUUCCUCUUCUUCCGUGUCUUCAAUCGAUGUCAACGAGUUUAGAUCUCUCAGUUUCGUGCAUAUGCGGUCCGCCACCUCUCUAGCUGAGCCCUCGUAGUCGAUAUUCAAAAUAGCGCACACGGACGUCAAAUCUCCCAACGUUAAAUUUGUGGUUGCCCAUUCUACCUUUUGAUCUAACGCGGCGUCAUCGGCGAAUACAAAACCCGCAAAAUCACGCACGUGCUGCCUAUUCCGUCGGCCACUAUCUACUCCAUCGUACAAAAGUUUGUGAAAAGCGCGAAUUGCGGCAACGGACGACUUCUUGAUUUUUUCGUACAAUCCGGGUACAUCACUAAGCUUCUCCACUUGUUCACUUGUUCUUAUCCCACUUCUGAUGUCUGUGGUGGCGGGUGCUUAUCCAAUAAGACACAUAGGUACUUUUAAUAGUUUAAUGAAUAAAUAAAAAGUGAACAAUUUGAGGAGAAACUUAUCGCUCUGCCCGGAGUAGGUACGUCUAUAUGCGACGACGUUCGUACCACUUCUGUCGAGGGUAGGAGAACCUUGAUGAAAAAAUUAGGUACGUUAGCUGAUUGAGUUAUUGUUCGUAUAAUUCGCAAUAUGAAGUUAUAUGUCUAAAGAUUCUAUCGUAUCCACUAUUCUAAGUGUAGCUUAAUUAGGAACGCCGGAAAUUGCAAUCAAAGUGAAGAUUUGUCCCAUAAGAAAAGCAUUGGGGCGGCUUUUCAGUGAGUACUAACCGCUUGUAUAUCUUAGAGAUUUACAACACUGCGGUAUUAUUACAAUUACUGGAUUGAGGGGCAGGUAUAGGGAACAGACACUUUUAUGGAAAUAGAGAUUUAAGCUGACGGAGAUUAGAUCAGGUCAGGUCUGGUCUCCAACAAUAGGAAUAAUUUAAAUUCGAUCGCGAUUUCUGGCGUUCAUAAUCAAGUUAAUGUUUGGCGCAAUGAUAUGAUUUGAUCAGAUUUUUGAGACGCAUCGAUUGAUAUAAAAAUUAAACAAUUUGAGUGCCUAGUCCUUUAAAGCAAUUUUAAGUCUUGUUUUCAUGAUGCAUUUUUAUUUAUUAAUAUUUCCUCUGUUAGUCUAUUACCUGCACACAAAAUUGUGUUUGUGUUUCAUU